rnacentral:rRNA from 1 species
AGAGUUUGAUCCUGGCUCAGGAUGAACGCUAGCGGCAGGCCUAAUACAUGCAAGUCGAACGGGCGGUAGCAAUACCGCUAGUGGCGCACGGGUGCGUAACGCGUAACCAACCUGCCCUCGACUGGGGGAUAGCCCGCCGAAAGGCGGAUUAAUACCGCAUAAACCAACAGUGCGGCAUCGCACAAUUGGUAAAGAUUUAUUGGUCGAGGAUGGGGUUGCGUAGCAUUAGCUGGUUGGCGGGGUAACGGCCCACCAAGGCGACGAUGCUUAGGGGACCUGAGAGGGUGAUCCCCCACACUGGCACUGAGAUACGGGCCAGACUCCUACGGGAGGCAGCAGUAGGGAAUAUUGGGCAAUGGGCGCGAGCCUGACCCAGCCAUGCCGCGUGCCGGAUGAAGGCCUUCUGGGUUGUAAACGGCUUUUCUCAGGGAAGAAAAAGGCCCUGCGGGGCACACUGACGGUACCUGAGGAAUAAGCACCGGCUAACUCCGUGCCAGCAGCCGCGGUAAUACGGAGGGUGCAAGCGUUGUCCGGAUUUAUUGGGUUUAAAGGGUGCGUAGGUGGCCCGGCAAGUCCGUGGUGAAAGCCUCCUGCUCAACAGGAGAACUGCCAUGGAUACUACCGGGCUUGAGUCCAGGCGAGGUUGGCGGAAUGGACGGUGUAGCGGUGAAAUGCAUAGAUACCGUCCAGAACCCCGAUUGCGUAGGCAGCUGACUAGGCUGGCACUGACACUGAGGCACGAAAGCGUGGGGAGCGAACAGGAUUAGAUACCCCGGUAGUCC